GAAAUGCGAUAAGUAAUGUGAAUUGCAGAAUUCAGUGAAUCAUCGAAUCUUUGAACGCACCUUGCGCUCCUUGGUAUUCCUUGGAGCAUGCCUGUUUGAGUAUCAUGAAAUCUUCAAAGUAAAUCUUUUGUUAACUCAAUUGGUUUCUACUUUGGUAUUGGAGGUCUUUGCAGCUUCACACCUGCUCCUCUUUGUUCAUUAGCUGGAUCUCAGUGUUAUGCUUGGUUCCACUCGGCGUGAUAAGUUAUCUAUCGCUGAGGACACUGUAAAAGGUGGCCAAGGUAAAUGCAGAUGAACCGCUUCUAAUAGUCCAUUGACUUGGACAAUACUUUUAUGAUCUGAUCUCAAAUCUGGUAGGACUACCCGCUGAACUUAAGC
rnacentral:misc_RNA from 1 species